UACAGAGGUCUCAAGCGUUGUUCGGAUUCAUUGGGCGUAAAGGGUGCGUAGGCGGCGCGGUAAGUCGGGUGUGAAAUCUCGGAGCUUAACUCCGAAACUGCGUUCGAUACUGCCGUGCUUGAGGACUGGAGAGGAGACUGGAAUUUACGGUGUAGCGGUGAAAUGCGUAGAUAUCGUAAGGAAGACCAGUGGCGAAGGCGGGUCUCUGGACAGUUCCUGACGCUGAGGCACGAAGGUCAGGGGAGCAAACGGG
rnacentral:rRNA from 1 species